UUGACUCUGGCCUCAAAUCAGGUAGGACUACCCGCUGAACUUA
rnacentral:rRNA from 2 species